GCCCGCUUAGCUCAGUGGUAGAGCGCGCCACUCGUACGAUAUCCAUGAUGGUGAGGUCGGUCGUUCAAAUCGGCCAGUGGGCA